ensembl:snoRNA
AGGGUGUGCUCAGAGCAGGGGGCCUAAAAAUAGCUCCUCUGUUUAUUAUACACCUGAAAAGAAUCUAGGGUCAUUGUGAUGAGGGGCACAAAACUUGUGGCCUUUCUACGAAAAAAUUCCUUACAUGU